UUUUAUAAUUAGCUGCUGAGCUUUACGUUGGGACAACGUUGGUACAUUCUGAAAUAAUUAAGAGGACUUUCUAUGUCCAUGCUUAUCAUUGGAUGACUGCUUUUGUUUAGAUAUGAUAUUUUCAACAUUUUAACUUUGCACUUAAGUGAUCAAGCACCAAAGAGUGUUUUAUUCUAUUUUUUGAAUUGUGUAUAUGCUUAUUUAUUUGUAAUAACCCAGAUAGCAGAACACCGUUGGCCAAAUCUUACAUUAUGGUUCUAUUAUCUAUGUUGGGUUACCUUGAUUGGGCCAACAAUGGCCCAACAUGGAAUAUUGAUAGCUGGUUAUGUAUAAUAGUGCGCUAAUGUUGGGCUUACUGUUGGCAUUAUAUCAUAAAACUAUUAUCAUGAGAGAAAAUAUUUGUUUGGGGAUUGGCAUCGGCCCUACGUUGGCCCAAUAUACCAUGAAUCAGACUGAGCAUCAUGGGUAGACAACAACCGGGCUACUUGUAAUAUCCGCGCCAUUUUUAAUCUGACACGAGCGUAAUGAGACUGAUACCUUGCAUAUCUGCACUCACUUUUGCUACUGGAGAUUCUAAAAAGACAUGGAGAACACAAUCAAAGAAUGGCUAAGGUAUGCCAAGGACAGGGAUGAGGGAGGAAGAAACGGACAGAGAAGAAAAGAAGGGGGAGGAGGAGACUCGGGAAGAGGAAAUGGAGACUUAGGAGAGGGAUCAGAUGGAAAGUGGCAGUGCCUAACUUUUUUCUGUGAUAUAGUGUGACAUACCUGUAGUUCUACCCUUUUUGUGUCUGUUUGUCGGUUAUAAACACGAUGCAGAUGCCAGAAACAUUUUUUUGUGUAAGUAAACAAAAUGACGGGAUUCAUUUUAGUAUUAUUUUAAGAACAGGAGGGCUUUGUUUAUUUGUUAGACGUGCUUAUUGAUACCUGUAAUUUACUGAAUUGUUGUGCAUAAUUUACAUCAGAGAGGGAGUAUACAGUCAUGUAACCCUACAUGUAUCGCUUGAAGUGAGCAUCAACUUUUAAUUCUUUAUUAAUGUUUUCUUCAUGCACUGAGCAAUAAAAUUAUAGUAUGUUAUAAUUUAAUUUUAUAUUUUGAUUUCUUUUUCCUCAGUUUUUUAAUUAAUGUAGAGCUACUUACAAUGCAAUACUUGUUGAUGGCAAUUCUAUGAGAAUAUUGAGAAUAUGUAUUAAACUAUUAAUCUAGCAUAUAUAGCAUAUAUAGAUAGUAUUAAAGGGCUUUUACCAUUAAACUGUACUACAAAACUA